GUCAAAUGGCAUUUUAAUGUGCUUAUAGAGAAACAGACAAAAAUAAAAAUCUACCAAGAAAUAUUCUGUGGAGUAAAGAAAUGACCACAUGGGUGGCUGCAUUGUACCAAAAACAAAAAGCAUUUAGUUAGCGUUCAAAAAUACUCAAACAUAAGUUGCUUUCUUAGUGACAUCAUUGGUAUUUACAUUGUUUAGCAUUAACACUGAUUUUAAAUACAAACAAAGUGCAACAUUUAUCAUCAGUUUUUUACUAAUUACUCCUUCUCAGGUUGAAACAAUCAAAUAAUCAGUACCUGAGGCAACAAUUUGACAGGAACAUUCACUCAAUAUUAUCUGACCUGCAAAUUAUUUUCAACUUUAAAUGUGUUAAGAAAUAUGAAAGUGAUGAAACAGAGAAUUCAAGUAAGGACUGUUAGUACAACUAUUGAGGACCUGGCACAAAAUAAACAUUAUGGAAAAAUAA